UGCCUAAUAAUCUCAGUUUUUGUUACCUAUAAUAUUAAAAUAGGUGGAGGAAUGUUAGCAGAUAUUUUAAUAUCAUAAUGUGUUAUUGGUUUGAUUUGUUUUCUUUCCCUCCAAGUUUUCAUUGUCUUUCUCUUCAAGUCUCCAAGUCUUCAAAGUAAGUUGCUUACCAAUUUCCUUCAUAUUCUUAUCCUCCAAGUCUUUGCCAAGUCAAGUCUCCUUCAAGUCUUCCAAGAGUCAAGUCUUCAUACCUAUCCUCCAAGCAUCUUCCAAGGAGCCUCCAAGCAACUUCCAAGAAGGAUCCUCCAAGAAACUUGUCCACCAAGUUUCAUCUUCUAUAAAUUGAGCUAAUCUCCUAUCUUGGAAUAUAUGAGAAUAAGUUUUGUUGCUUUAUUAUGUUUUGUGUGAGAUUAUCAGGCAAAUAAAAAAGGGUGUAUGUGAUAAAGCUUUGGGUUCAACCAAUUGUGCAGUAUUGGUGAACCGUACGACUUAGUCGUGCUGUUGUAUUCUGGGGGAACAAGUCAAGGUUUUUUCUGCCGCACUGGUGUGAGGCUUUGCCUAACCGCAGAGGGCUUGAAUCUCUUUAAAGAGAGUGAAUUUCCCGUGCCUCAACCCUUACAAUAGUUAUUGUAAUUUUUAUUAUUUGUAUUUUCUGGUGUUUUAUUUGUAAUUAUCACCAACAUCUUUCAUGCAUUUUUCUUUCUUACUUUUAUAGCUGGCCAUCCUAAUUGUUCUUUUUGACUAUGAUAUUUAUUCUAGCUUCUUGGGUUUGAUCUACCCUAACUACUGUGCAACUUGUGUGAAAUCAAACUUACGUUAGGUGAUAAAAACUUAUUUUUUUUCUAAAUUUGUGCUUUGGAAUAUAUUUGACACAUAUUGGUGGUGCCUUUACCAAAGAGACGUUCCCACAGGCUAUGGAAGAAAAAAAAAAGAAGUUAGCAAAGAACCAUGACCAACAACUGCGUACACUAAAAAAUGCAGGGCAUUGAAUUUUCAAUCCAUCUUAAUGCACCCAUGACCAUCAAUUGUUGAUUGGUGUGUUAUAUCUGUAAAGUUCUGUAGCUCUACUAGCACAGAUCGAAAUAGUUGGAUGUCAUGUCACUGGAACAGCUUUUUUUACCGUGUCAAUUUUUUUUUCAUAUGAUGUGCAUUCUUAGCACAAGAUCAUAAAGAGGUAUCACAACUUUCUUAAAUCCAACCAACUUUGGCAUGCACAUUUGGUAAUUCUUCUAGAAGUUUUACGCUGUUCAUUUGGGUUUAAGAUCGAUUUUAUCAGGAACUGGUAUUAUGGUUAAAAUGUUUUCCUUUUAACUAUUUUCAUUCAUUUUUAAAUUUUAAUUAUUUAUUUUUUUGUCUUAAAAAAUGUGUGACAUUUAUCUCUAAUUUUGGAUUCAAGCUUUUUCAGCUUCAUAUACUGCACAAAAUUGUUAGGAGCAUAUCACAUGCUGUGGCUAUUUCUUUUGAACUAUUUGUUUUUUUCUUUUUCGGGUGUUUAAAUUUUUGUAUUUUAGGUUAUUUGUAUGAAAAUUUUGAUUAUAUUAUCCUGCUGUUUUACAUAUUUAGUUACUAAUUUUGGCUGCUUUGAAAGUUGGUGUUGGUCAAUUGAUGAUUUGACGGUUGUCUUGGGUGUAGACUUGAUAAUUGAUACUAGUUCAUGCAAUAAAUUAUGGAUGAUGCUGACAGUAAAUAGAAUUUUGAUUAGGAUUUUCAAACCAUUGGUUACAUGACCUUGGAUUGGAUGAUUAGUGACUGGAUGAUUAUGUGGUGGAUCAUUCUGGGAUUACGAAGUUAUGAUCCCAAUCAUAUAUAUUUUCUGUGUAAUUAUUGUUUUGAAACCAUUAGGUUGCGUCUCCUGUUUGGGUGAUUACAUGGACUGUUGUGGCGUGCCAUGGUACGUAUAAUCCUACUGUCUGUAAAUGUUUGAACCUAUAAUUUUAGUAUUUAAUUUUAAUUGCAUUUUUAAUUCAAAUGUUAAUAUUCAUGCCAUGAAUCAUGGGUACUGGCACCAGCUCUGGCAGCCCAAUUGGCGGCCCCAGUAGCCGAACCCCAAAUGAUCUUUAACUUUUGCAGUGUGUGUGUUUGAACCUCUACCCAUUUCUUCUUCUGCUAUCACUGUUUGUGGUGAUGUUGCUUCUUAGUUGCUUGAUGCUGUGCGGUGCAGGGGAUUUAGUGUUCUCCAUAUUAUGGUGGUUCAUUUGAAUGCCUUAAUGGACAGGAGUGGGCUGAGGGCUAGAAGUAGAAGUCAGGCCUUGGAACAGUGUUCUAGAAUGAAUCAUCACAUUGAUUUUUAUUGGUUUAUGAUUAAUCAUAGUAGGUUAGUGACAAUGUUUUUUUUACUUCUUCGAAUGUAACU